CUUUUGUACUUGCUGUACGCCGGCUGGCUAGGUCGCUCUGCUGCAUCUUUGUUUGGAUGGGCACAAUUCAUUGAAGAUAUUACAGUUUUCCAAUUUACAGGAAACAAUCAGAAACAGAAGUAACCCACUGUACAUUAUACAUAUCAGAUCCCAAAUGGGUCUGCCAGACCCACUGGCACAAGGCAAUGAUGAGAUCGAUCAUUUAUUGAUUGGCCUUGUGCUAGAAGCCUCAGAAUUUCAUAAAAAGCAUCAUGUAAAUAGCAAGGGUUUAAAGAAGGACUUCUCUAUCAGUUGGCAACAAGCCAAGGAGAUGGUCAGAAACUGUCCU